CCUACGGGUGGCAGCAGUCGAGAAUUUUUCUCAAUGGGCGAAAGCCUGAAGGAGCGACGCCGCGUGUGGGAUGAAGGGUUUCGAUCCGUAAACCACUGUCAUUUGUGAACUAGUAAUGAAAGAGGAAGGGACGGCUAACUCUGUGCCAGCAGCCGCGGUAAUACAGAGGUCCCGAGCGUUGUUCGGAUUCACUGGGCGUAAAGGGUGCGUAGGUGGCAUGGUAAGUUUGAUGUGAAAGCUCAGGGCUCAACCCUGAAAUGGCAUUGAAUACUACUGUGCUGGAGGUUUGGAGGGGGGACUGGAAUUCUUGGUGUAGCAGUGAAAUGCGUAGAUAUCAAGAGGAACACCAGUGGCGAAGGCGAGUCCCUGGACACCCUGACACUGAGGCACGAAAGCUAGGGGAGCAAACAGGAUUAGAUACCCUGGUAGUC
rnacentral:rRNA from 1 species